GGACGAACGCUGGCGGCGUGCCUAAUACAUGCAAGUCGAACGGUCUUUCUAUGGAAGCUUGCUCCACUGAGAAGAUAGUGGCGAACGGGUGAGUAACACGUGGGUAACCUGCCCAUAAGAGGGGGGAUAACAUCCGGAAACGGGUGCUAAUACCGCAUAGUUUUCUUGAUUGCAUGAUUGAGAAAGGAAAGACGGCCUUUGUGCUGUCGCUUAUGGAUGGACCCGCGGCGUAUUAGUUAGUUGGUGAGGUAACGGCUCACCAAGGCGAUGAUACGUAGCCGACCUGAGAGGGUGAUCGGCCACAUUGGGACUGAGACACGGCCCAAACUCCUACGGGAGGCAGCAGUAGGGAAUCUUCCGCAAUGGACGAAAGUCUGACGGAGCAACGCCGCGUGAGUGAAAGAAGGUUUUUCGGAUCGUAAAACUCUGUUGUCAGAGAAGAACAAGUUGGAGAGUAACUGCUCCAGCCUUGACGGUAUCUGACCAGAAAGCCACGGCUAACUACGUGCCAGCCGCCGC
rnacentral:rRNA from 1 species